AAUAAUUUUAAUUUCAAAUGAUAGACAAAGAUCACUUUACCAUAUGUGAAAAAAUAUCGAAAUGUGUUUAUUACACAUUAUCAGGAGCAAUAAAAUAAAUAUACCAAAAGGUCACUCUGGAAAAUGAUUUUGUGAAUAAAAUAACAUGGCAGGCUUCCCCUGAGAGAUAUAAAGCAUGAAACCACCAUGAAAAGAUUUAUCUCUCAGUUGAUUUUCUUCUCUGUAUCACUAAAAUACCAAACUCAGCUACUUACAUAAUAAUCAGUGUAACAGUCAUUUUUAAAUGUUUGAAUUAUCCUCUACUUCCCUUAAGAAAUAUAAUUUAAUAGGCAAUUCAGUGAAAAUAUACUAUUGAAAUGUUUGGACUAAAAUCAGCCAUGAGCUAAAGUCUGUUUUAUACUGUUCAGAUUUUUUGGGGGGAGGGGGUGGGGUCUUUGUUUUUCAUCAGUGAAUGCAAAUGAAACAUUUAGGAGACAGAGGUCAAACGGAAUGUCAAUGUGAAAUAUGAAUAAGACCAAUUUAUUCUGACUAGUAAGCUUUUGAACUUUACUAAAACAGUUUCGUGAUAGUAAAGGAUUUGAAUAUUUCACAUUUUUUAUUGCUAGUUUGAGAAAAAUUAUUAAAAUAUAAUUCCUUUCCAUCAAAAUGUUACACUGAAAAGGCUUAUUCUGAAACAAACAAAAAAUGAGAUUUACAAUCUCCAAUAGACAGCGAGGGAGGUAAAAGAAAAAAAAAAAGCAAGAAGAAUUUAAAAUAAAGAUACAGUUUGUAUUAGUUUUGUAUUGUUGUGGAACAAAUUGCCACAAAUUUAGCAGCUUAAAACAAUACUUAUUUAUUAUAUUACAGCUUCCAUAAGUCAGGAUUCCAGUCACAGCUUAGCUGGAUCCUCUCAGAAGGCUACGAUCAAGGUGUCAGCCAGACUGAGUUCUCAUCAGAGGCUCGACUAGGAGAGGAUCUGCUUCCAAGUUCCCUCAGGUUGUUGGAAGGAUUCAUUUUCUUGUGGCUAAGCUCACAGGAGCUUUCUUCUUCAAGGGCAUCAGGAGAGUGGAGAGCGAGUCUACUCAAAGACUUCUAUACAAAUCAUAAGGUAAUCACAUGAGGGACAUACCAUCAUCUUUGCCAUAUUCUGUUGGUUACAAACAAGUCACCAGUUCCACCUGCACUCAAGGGGAGGAGAUUAUACAGGGUGAACAUGGGGGCCAUCCUAGAAUUCUGCCCACUUUACAGUUGAAACAGUAUUUUUUAAAAUGCCAAUGAAAUCCAAGAUAGACAGUUUAUCUUGGAUAAACUUUUAGCACCUUUUGAUUAACAUACCUGUUGGACUUUACAACUGUAAGAUUAGUAAGCACAAGAUUCCCCAGUAUUUCAAGGAUUUAAAGGGAACAUGGUAAAAAGGUACUCUUUGCUAUGCAAAAUCUAGCCAUCUAGCAUUGCUGUGGCCCUGGCCAGUUUGCAGCUCUGGCCAAAAGAGGGCUGCUGAGUCCAGCCCUGUCCACAGUGUAUACGGGCACACCUGACUACAUCAUGCACAGCAAUCCUGUUUGUGGCACCACUGAUGAAUUACCCCUAUUCAAGUGAACAGGCAUUGAGACCCUAAGGGGACCACAGGGUCUGGUUCAUUCACCACAAACACAGUCUUCCUUGAAUGUUAGCAAUGAGUUUAGUCAUCUCAUUAGGAGACUUGAACAGAAGUGAAGGUAAACACUAUUCAUGUCAGAAAAAAAUAUAACGUGGUAGGUAGUAAGAUAUGUAAACAAAGGACUACAGUUCUCUGCCUUUUGAAAGCAUACCUGUGCUACUUGUCUGAAGUAAAAAAAAAAAACAACUGUGCAUUAUUCUGUAUGAAGCAUCUUUUGCAUGUGUUCAUGUGUAUAAACAGGAUUAUGGGUUAUGAUGUAGGAAUUGAGGAUAAACUACAUUUUAUAUUUUUUCAUAUUGUGGAAAGAAGAAAUAAACUAUACUCCUGUGUUAGCUGGAUUCUCUGAGAAGCAGAUGCUGAAAUUGAAUUAGAAGGGCAAAAGGUAUAUUGGGAAGUAACACCUGAGAGGAUGCAGGAUUUGGCAAAGAAUGUUGUGUCUGCACAACUCUACGUGACCCACAAAAGUCAUACAUCUGGCCUUUAAUUUUUUAAAAGAAUCAAGAAGCUCUAUGGUUUUAUAGUAUCUGGCUCUUGUUUAUAAUGAUUAGAACUAUCUCACAGAACCUCAGGGACUUAGGCAAAUUCUCAGAGGUUGUCUAUGCCAACCCUUCAUUGUUAGACAGGGAUGCAUCAAAUCACCCUGAGUGUGGGGAACAUUUCCACCUUUGCGAUGGCCCAGGUAACUGGUUUUACAAAAUCCUUUGUUCAGCUGUUUCACUAAGAGGUUGUAGACAUUGGAGUCUUCCUAACUAAAUCACGUCUACUCCAGAUUAAGAGUAGGAUAGUAUUCUCUGGUGGCUACUUUCUUUUUGCCAGUCCCUCACAUGUUGGGGUUCACUAAUAUCUUCUUCUCUUCUUUCUUAUGAGUCUUCCCAAGAACUCAUUCAGCCCAUAAUGUCAAUAGUGCCAAGGUUGAGAAAUCCUGCUGUAUAGAGACAACUCCCAUUUCACAUCCUCUGCCCAGGUUUCACUCCCAGGCUCCACAUGCCAAGAUGAGGAAUAUUUAAUCUAUAUUCUAAAUAGAGUAAAAAGCAAGGUCAUCAGAUGAAAAGGUGUUGGGAGCAAGACUGGCUUAUUCCAUUAAGCAUAGUAGUCUAAGUGCCUGCUUGGGACCCACAAUAUUUUCAAGGGCCCAUGAAAAAUGUUUUAAUUUUAAUUUCUUUUGAAAUCAGGAGGAAAAAAUGAAUAUUGUAACAAUGAAUACAUAAUAAUAAAUCACACUUGGAUUGUGUUUGUCUUUAUAACAACUUGAUGAUGAAACAUAAUUUUUAGUAUUUUUUAAUAGAGGAAGGGACCCAUGAAGGCAGAAGUAUCCAGGGCCCACAAAAAUCAUAAUGCAGCCCUUUUAAGGAGGAAGAGGAGGAACAGGAAAUUUGGAGUGGAUAAAGUGUGAAAUAUCCUUGUGGGCAGUGGGAAAGUAGUUUGAGGAGAGAAAUGUAAGAUUUUCUGUAAGACUGCCAGGUAGUAUCAAAUGCCCAUUUGGGGUUGAUAUGCAUCAACUUAUAAGCAUACCAAUUUGUCUGGUAGUGUAGUUCCCUAGCAAAGUUUAGCUGCAUGGGUAUGGCACAAAGUGGGCAAAUGUUUGAAAAUUUCCAGUGCUUACCAUUUGGAGUAAGGGAGAGAGAAGCAAAGGAGAUAACAGAAUUUCCAAGAGAAUGUAUAUGAAUUUAUAUAGUAAUGAACGGAGGGAGCUAAGCUGGACAAGAAGUGAAGUCAGAAUCAAUUGGAUCAAAGUGGAAAAGUCAAUAAUCAAUCAGGUUGAAAAAUGACAUCAAGUACUCUUCAACUGCCUAUUGGGAGACAAUUUCCACAGCUCUCUCAUGUUUCUGCACAACUUGUAAGCAAGACAAGACUCUCUUAUCUUCUGGACUCUAUUUUCAAGAAUACUCAUAUAGUGAACAGUGUCUUCUUCCUGAGCGAAGGGCAUAAAUGCUACUUUCCAUUUUAAAAGAUUCAAGUUCCCUAAGCUCGGAAUUCUUCUGUAAUGCAACCCAUUGUGUGUGCAGGUAUCACCUGGCAUUCUUCCCAUUACCCUGUGGGAAUUGGAGCUCAGGGAACCUUCAUAGAAAUUCUGAUAGUCUAGCUACUGCUAUUUCUAUGAGUAAUAAAUUGUUUCUGACCUAGAAGUCUUGUGUCUUCUGCUGGCACCCAUGAAAUUAUGAGGCUAAAUUGUUAGAUUACAAGUGAGGUAAAAUCUUGGACGCUUCCCAGUUCUUGACACUGACUAAAAUACAUGCAUAUUCGUUUUAUCAAGUCAGUUUGAAAAAAAAUCUAUGAAUUAAAAUAAUUACAAAAUUCUAAGGACUGAAUUUGUAAUAUAUUGGAUGAACAAAACCCUCUACCUUGGUUCUGAAAUUCUUGAUAGUUGAGAUAUGUGUAACAUUUGUAAUUUGAAAUACACAAGUAAUUCUCUAUUUAAAAGGUCAUAUAUCCAAAGUAUUGAAAAAUCUAGAAUACAUUAAACUUUAGCUAUCCAUGGUGAAAGGCAGUGGCAAAACAGCUGCAGAAAAGCUGAAACUAGAUUCAAUUAAAUCUUUGUGCCAAAACCAAGUGCACAAAAAUCUCCCAAAGCUGUUAAAACUAUACAGCUUAUUUGCUAUAAAUUUUAUAAAUGGUUAAAUAAAACAAGUUUUGAAGUAAUUUGGUAAAUUGACAAAUUUUUCACUCAUUGAUUUGUUGUAGCUAAUGAGGGAUGGUGGGGAGUGGAGAAGGGUUCAGAGAACUUGGGAAGGAUAUAAAAAUGGAGGUAUGUGGGGCAAAUGCCCCCAACUACAUGUUUUAAUCAAGAACACCAGCCUAUGAUCAAGGGAAUUUUCAUAUACAGAUGAGAGCUAGUCUCACUUGAUCUUUCUGCAUUAAAACUGUUACAAAGCAACUUCUUUAUCAAAUGAAUACAAUCACAUUUAGUAGAGGCUCUAGUUAAGACCUGAGGCUAUACUGACCUGGGUUAGAGACCUGGCUUUUACAUUUUUACCUAAUCUCUCUAAGCCUUAAUUUCUCAGUUUUAAAAGUGCAGGUAAUCAUAGCAUGUGUUUCCCAAGGAUGUUGUAAAGAUUAGUGUCAGGAUGGCUGAGUGGUGUAAGGCACCAGACCCAAGGAUGUUGUAAGGAUUAAUUGAAAUAUCCACUUGAAUUGCUUAGCAUGAUACCUGCUAUGUAGAAAGUGCUUGAUAGCCUUAACAAUAUAUAUCAUUAAGAAAUUUCCUUGGAAUGGGAAUUUCAAACCACUUUAUCAAAUAUACUUACUUCCUCACUUACUUUUGUGGUUUGGUAGCUUUUUCUUUACACAUUUAGGAGGUGGGGAAGCACAGAGAUAUAGCACUUUCUUUUUUUUUUCUUUGAGACAGAGUCUCGCCCUGUCACCCAGGCUGGAGUGCAGUGGCGCCAUCUUGGCUCACUGCAACCUCCGCCUCCCAGGUUCAAGCUAUUCUCCUGCUUCAGCUUCCUGAGUAGCUGGGACUACAGGUGCACGCCACCAAGCCCGGCUAAUUUUUGUAUUUUUAGUAGAGAAGGGGUUUCACCAUGUUGGCCAGGAUGGUCUCGAUCUCCUGACCUCGUGAUCCACCCGCCUUGGCCUCCCAAAGUGCUAGGAUAACCGGUGUAAGCCACCGCACCUGGCCAGAUAUAGCACUUUCUAAAAGGUCUAUAAAUCUUUCUAAAGAUUAAUAUUGAGUGGGAUCAAUGUGUUUUAGGGAAUCCAGAUACUGCACACCACUUUGCAAAUGUUUAGAUUUUAGCAGAACAACAAAUGGACUUUGCAAAGACUGUCUUUUAAUUAUUAAACCUCUAUUUAUUAAAAAGAAAUUAGGCCAGGCACAGUGGCUCACGCCUGUAAUCCCAGAACUUUGGGAGGCCGAGGUGGGUGGAUCACCUGAGGUCAGGAGUUCAAGACCAGCCUGGCCAACAUGGUGAGACCACAUCUCUACUACAAAUACAAAAAUUAGUCGGGCAUGGUGGCAGGCACCUGCAAUCUCAGCUACUUGGGAGGCUGAAUGAAUUUACAGGUAGGAAGGCACACAUUAUAUAAGUUAAAAUUCAGUUCAACUAUGAGUGACAGAAAACCCUAAUGAGUGGUAGCUUAAACAUACAAUGUUUACUCCCUCAAACAAAAUGUCUGCCUGAUAUGUAGCUGAUGUGAGGCUCCAUGGUGUCAGGGUCCCAGGUUUCUUUUAUCUAUGGCUUUGCCAUCUUUAUCACAUGAACCAUAAUGACUGCUUGAGUUUCUUAUGGUCUAAAAUGGUUUCUUGAGUUUCCUAUCCCCAUCCAGUCAGGAAGAAAAAAAAAAAAAAAAAAAAGGAAUGACUGAUGAAGCGCUUGCUUUUAUUUUAAGAACACUUCCUGCAAGUUGCACAUACCAAUUCUGUUUGCAUUCUUUUGGCCACAACUUACCUACUUGGCCAUGCCUAGCUUCAAGAGAAGAGAAAUGUAGUCAUUAUUUUGAGUAGUUAUAUGUCCAGAUGGAAAUCAGGGGAGCUAUCACACACACACACACACACACACACACACACACACACACACACACACACACAAAGCACAAAACAGAUACUGGGGACAACUCAUCUUCUUUGCCUCAUACACUGAAAUUAAGCCAGAUUGGUCUUGUUUUUGAAAGAAAGUAACACUGUUAGUAAGAGAGACUUUGGUAUUGUCUAAUCAAACUUCUCUCUUUUUGUGGAUGAGACUCAUGUUGUCUGAGUUCAAGUUCAGAUAUCAUCCAUUCCUUGAGCUUGUAUGUGUGAUACUACACACUACAACCUAGCACAGAGAGGAUGAGAAGACAAGAAAUGAGAACUUAGGUGUUACUUAGUAUUUAUUUAUAAUAGUAGUUUUAAAAAUGCUGUCUUGACACAGUUUUGAGGCCCUGGAAAUAACAUUUUAAAGUAAAAACGUUAAAGUUUAAAGAAGAGCUUUGCCACUUAAACGGGGGAGUUUGUCUGGAAAAUAUAUUGAGUUGAAACACUUCAUCCUUGGAAGGAUUAUAUACGAUGAACAAUUGCAUAUAAAUGUGUGUUUUAGAGAGAUGUGAACGGGCAGUUAGUCCAGUGCCCUCAUUUAAGAGGCCAAAAUCCUGACUCAGAGGAGGUGUCCUUUGCCCAGAGCUUCUUAGCUAAUCUGACCAAAUGUUGGGAAAUAUAUCUUACCUAACCUACUAUUCCUUAAUUAUGGAUUUUGUGGAAAACAAUAAAACAUGUUAAUGAGUAAUUUAUAUUAGUUCAAUUUAUUACAAUUUUUUAGCUUUAAAUUACAGUUUUCUUAUAAUGAUGAAAUGUUUUAGAAUCCUUUGAAUCUAAGUAUUUACUUAUUUCCUAAAUAAAACAUUAGUACAACAUUUGAUGUUUUACUUAUGAAAUAUCCUCCUCUCCCAAGAUAAUUAAAACUUUUUCUUUCUAUUUAAAAGCUAAGAAAUGAUGUUUUAAAGGAAAAAUGAAAUUAUUUUCUUUUAGCUUCUUUUAAGGUAAAACAGCUUUUUUACUCUGUUAUUGUGGUAAUGGACAGAAAAUUGCAUACCAAAAUAUUCUGGGAGAGCAUUCUCCUAGUUGGUUUUAAAUCAUUGUGCUACCUGAAAGGUUUUUUGAUUUUGUAGGAGCUAUUUUGUCCACCAGCAUUAAUGUGACACUAGUUAUGAAAAUAUAUUGAAGGACAAGAAGUGGACACAAAGUGAUUUUUGUAACCUGGGCAGUUAAUGAAUGUGCCAACGUUUUCGAGGAAGGGACAGCAAGAAUAUUCUGCCCUGUAGUUAAAAUACUGGCUGGCUUUUAAUGUCUUCAUGCUUAAUCGUGAUCACUUUCUUGCACUGUGAUGUUUUUACGUGAACAUGUUAAAAUGGAAGUCUACCAUAUUACUUUAUAAAAUGUUUUCUGUAUGCCAGUAAACUGAAAAUAUGGAUCAACAACAACAACAAAAUGCGUCUUGACACAGUUUUGAGGCCCUAUGUAGGGGUUAGUCAAUUUUCACUGAGCAAUCGGUUAAGCCCAUAUCCCCAACCACCUCCCUUAUGAGACUCUCACCCUCCUGGCCACCAUACACUUUUCCUAAUUACUCUAAGGGCAGGUAUCAGAUAACCAGAGGCAGCUCCUAUACCCUGGAGCCCACUGAAAGUGCUCAAAUUAGUCAAUCCUAAGCCUGCGUAUCCUGCCUCAUCCAUUCCUUCCUGCAGAAACCACAAUAAAGACACUUGUCUUCCCUCUUCCUUUGCCUCACGACCAACCUUGGUGCUUCCCCUGAGUGGCCCUGUGUGGCAUAUUGUGUUCUUCCCAGAGAACUGUCAGUAUAAGAAACUGUAAAACUCUUUCUGGUUUCUGUCUGUUGAUCUGCAUCUGGCCUCACCAGGU
rnacentral:lncRNA from 10 species